rnacentral:lncRNA from 1 species
UCCUUUGCAAAACAAUAAACACGACCAUCUGACUGCUGGAGUUCCAUAUACCCAGAUCUUAUCUGAAGCUUGUCAGACUUUUCAUAUGGAUCAGUACUGGCAAGAAUAUUCCAUUGGGACUCAGAAAAAUAUAAGGAGGUGUUUCCAUGAAUGUAGUUUCUCAUUUCAUCCCACCAUGGCAAGCUCUUUUCCUUUUUCGGUUGCGGAGGAUCCGGACUUGGAUUUCUGAUGCUCAAAUUGGCCCUACGCAGGGCCACUGUGAAAGCAUAGCUAAUAUCAGCAAGAGCUGGUUCAAAACCCACUCCAUAGGAAAUUUCCGCUUUCUGAAAAUGUAAGGGUAAAUCAGAGUAUGUUUUCAUUGGUGGAGUUGUCCCACUAGCAGAACGGAGCAAGCGGACCUUCCUCCAUCUCCCAAUGUAUACAUUUUGGUGGAUUUGGGGCUGAAAACAAGUUGCCUGCACCCAAUAUUGACAAAAAGGUUAAGUUUAUGUCAACAAAUCUAUUAUUGAAAUUCAAAGCAUUUAAAACAAACUAAAAUUGACUCUCAAGAGUCAAAUACAAUAGAAUGAGGAAUAUAAUAUAUCUGGCGCUUUAACACAAUACCACAAUACAAAGGAGCAAAGUUAAACGUAGAUAUUCAAAUUGGUAAUGCUCUCUCAAGUGGAGACUUACCACAUUGAUUACGUUAAACUAAAACAGAACAGUUUUUAGCAACGGUAAUAGAUUUUGAUUUUUAANCUUGCCAUGCUAACAACCUGUCUGGGUCAGCUUUUGGGGCUUGCCUUCUGAUUGUAAAGUAAUCAGAUGAUAAAAGAAAACCAUCAUCACGCUGUCUCUCCGUGCUGCUGUCAUUAGAUGACCUUUCUGUUGAUGCAGAUUGUGAUGUUUUCCUAGUCAUUUUAACUACUUUUGCAACACUGCUAUUAUCAUCUCUAUUUAUAAAUGCCUUAGGCAUGUGGAGGUCAAGACCCUGGUAUACAAGAUCAAGGGUGUCUCGUUUACUCUCAAAUGUGUAUUUUUGCUUCCCCCUGCCAUAAUAAAGUUCAUAUUUCAACUUAUUCAUAGAAAAUGUCAGCCCCUUAGCUGGGUCAUCAUCAUCUAAAGGCAUAUGCUUUAUGCAUGCUGGGGUUGCAUCAACUCUGAACAUAAAUUCUGUCAUCACCUUAUCUAAUGACAGAUUGCCAGAUCUAGGAACUCUUGGAAUUCCAAAACGUGGCCACCUAGAAAAAGACCGCAAUUUGUGAGGUGGAUAAUAAUUUAAGCUCCAGAAUUUCAGUACCCAUGCCAAAUCAUGAGGACCGAGUUUCAAUGUUGGGAAAACUGACAAGCUAUCAGCCUUCAUUGCAUCACAGCCAGCUGCAUCCAAGACACCCUGAUCACCCACAGAACAUAAGUUUGAUAAAUUAUCAUGCAUAGGAAUCGAUGGCCUAAGCAACAGAUUCCACCUCAGUGACAGAGAGGUUGAUCUAAACGGGUCAUAGACUUUUUCACGGGGCACUCCUUCACUGGGAAGUGCAAAUAGAUAAUGGUUUAGAGGGUUUCCAGAAUCACAUUCCCACUCCAUAAUCACUUCAAGACUAAAGGCCGGGGCCUCUAUGAAAGUAGAGGAAAAACCAGAUGGACACUUUAAAUUGGAGUUCUUCAACAAGCUCUCCAAGCUGCUCAGUAGAAUCUUGAAGUCCUUUGCAAAACAAUAAACACGACCAUCUGACUGCUGGAGUUCCAUAUACCCAGAUCUUAUCUGAAGCUUGUCAGACUUUUCAUAUGGAUCAGUACUGGCAAGAAUAUUCCAUUGGGACUCAGAAAAAUAUAAGGAGGUGUUUCCAUGAAUGUAGUUUCUCAUUUCAUCCCACCAUGGCAAGCUCUUUUCCUUUUUCGGU